rnacentral:rRNA from 1 species
GAUUUCUGGUACAGCGCGCGCGGCCCGCUUGGGUUCACCAAGUGUGUGUCGAUGUGCGCUUGCCAUCUUUCCGGGAUUGUGUUCUGCUCUUCACUGGGUGGAAUCUUUCUUCGGAUCUUUUACUUUGAAAAAAUUAGAGUGUUUCAAGCAGGCUUUAUGCUAUGAAUACAUUAGCAUGGAAUAAUAAUUUAGGACUUCGGUUCUAUUUUGUUGGUUUCUAGGACUGAAGUAAUGAUUGAUAGGGAUAGUUGGGGGUGCUAGUAUUCAGCGGCCAGAGGUGAAAUUCUCGGAUUCGCUGAAGACUAACUUAUGCGAAAGCAUU